rnacentral:rRNA from 1 species
UACGUAGGGUGCGAGCGUUGCCCGGAUUUAUUGGGCGUAAAGGGCGCGUAGGCGGCCACGCACGUCCGUUGUGAAAUCGCCCGGCUCAACUGGGCGGGGUCAGCGGAUACGGUGUGGCUCGAGCAAGCUAGGGGGCAAUGGAAUUCCCGGUGUAGUGGUGGAAUGCGUAGAUACCGGGAGGAACACCAGUGGCGAAGGCGGUUGCCUGGAGCUUUGCUGACGCUGAGGCGCGAAAGCUAGGGGAGCAAACAGG